AAUGAACGCUAGAAAUAUGCAUAACACAUGCAAGUUGAACGAAGCCUUCGGGCUUAGUGGCGGACGGGUGAGUAACACGUGGGAACGUACCUUUUGGGUCGGAAUAACGCAGAGAAAUUUGCGCUAAUACCGAAUGAGCCCUUAGGGGGAAAGAUUUAUCGCCGAAAAAUCGGACCGCGUUGGAUUAGGUAGUUGGGGUGGUAAAGGCGCACCAAGCCUACGAUCCAUAGCUGGUCUGAGAGGAUGAUCAGCCACACUGGGACUGAGACACGGCCCAGACUCCUACGGGAGGCAACAGUGGGGAAUCUUGCGCAAUGGGCGAAAGCCUGACGCAGCCAUGCCGCGUGAAUGAUGAAGGUCUUAGGAUUGUAAAAUUCUUUUACCAGGGACGAUAAUGACGGUACCUGGAGAAAAAGCCCCGGCUAACUUCGUGCCAGCAGCCGCGGUAA
rnacentral:rRNA from 1 species